AUUGAACGCUAGCGGCAUGCCUAACACAUGCAAGUCGAACGGCAGCACGGGGAGCUUGCUCUCUGGUGGCGAGUGGCGAACGGGUGAGUAACGCGUAGGAAUCUGCCUAGUAGUGGGGGACAACUCGAGGAAACUCGAGCUAAUACCGCAUAAUCUCUACGGAGCAAAGUGGGGGACCUUCGGGCCUCACGCUAUUAGAUGAGCCUGCGUCAGAUUAGAUUGUUGGUGGGGUAAUGGCCUACCAAGUCGACGAUCUGUAGCUGGUCUGAGAGGGUGAACAGCCACACUGGGACUGAGACACGGCCCAGACUCCUACGGGAGGCAGCAGUGGGGAAUAUUGGACAAUGGGCGAAAGCCUGAUCCAGCAAUGCCGCGUGUGUGAAGAAGGCCUUAGGGUUGUAAAGCACUUUCGAUAGGAAAGAAAAUGCCAAAGGUAAUAUCUUUGGAAACUGACGCUACCUAUAGAAGAAGCACUGGCUAACUCUGUGCCAGCAGCCGCCGCCG
rnacentral:rRNA from 1 species